GGGUUGUGAGGUUAAGCGACUAAGCGUACACGGUGGAUGCCCUGGCAGUCAGAGGCGAUGAAGGACGUGCUAAUCUGCGAAAAGCGCCGGCGAGGUGAUAUGAACCUUUGACCCGGCGAUGUCCGAAUGGGGA
rnacentral:rRNA from 1 species